rnacentral:rRNA from 1 species
GUCGAGAAUCUUUCACAAUGGGGGCAACCCUGAUGGAGCGACGCCGCGUGGAGGAUAAGGUCUUCGGAUUGUAAACUCCUGUCAUGUGUGAACAAGGUUGCUUGGUUAAUACCUGGGCAAAUUGAUGGUAACGCAAGAGGAAGAGACGGCUAACUCUGUGCCAGCAGCCGCGGUAAUACAGAGGUCUCAAGCGUUGUUCGGAAUCACUGGGCGUAAAGGGUGCGUAGGUGGCGUGGUAAGUCAGAUGUGAAAGCCCGGGGCUCAACCUCGGAACUGCAUCCGAUACUGCCAUGCUAGAGUACUGGAGAGGUGACUAGAAUUCUCGGUGUAGCAGUGAAAUGCGUAGAUAUCGAGAGGAAUACCAAAGGCGUAGGCAGGUCACUGGACAGUUACUGACACUGAGGCACGAAGGCCAGGGGAGCGAACGGGAUUAGAAACCCCUGUAGUCC